AAGUAGUAGACGGUUAUUUUGUGAUGGGAAUCUGCCUGCCAUCUUGGUGUGCCACCUUGGCUCCACAACCUGCAAAGCCAUGUGGGAACAAAACCACUCCAGGCUCUCAGCUCAAAUACUCUGGAGAAGCAAAGACUUUUGCAGCUGAUUAUUUUUUGUUGGUUUUGUUCAUUGCCCUAAGCUCAUUCAUGAGAUUUAGAGAGUUGUCAACAGAGCUGAAAUGGCUGGGAUUCUUAUCUGCCAUCUCCAACAUAUUUUCUAUAUUAUGAAGAAAUUUAAUGAGUCAUUUCAUUUGGAGUUUUGAACUUGAUGUCCAGAUUCCACAGCUCAGCAGUAGCUGAGGGGAAAGAGCCAUAGGGAAAAGAAGCAAAUUUGUGAAGGUAAGAAAGUGCAGGAUGUAGAUGGGGUAAUUCUGUGUGUAGAUGUCUCCUCAGUUAUUUAUUUUUUCAGGGUCAUGUUUUGUCUUGCAGAUCUCAGGAGUUUCACCUCUUGAUAGUGACAGUACAAGUCACGUGACCGAAGGUCUCUGUUGUCACUAAUGGAAGAAAUCUACAGACCUCUAAGGCUGAAAUCAGUGCUCUGUGCCCAGCACUCAGAUGACAGAAGACUACUGUACCAGUAUGAGAGUUAAUGGUGUGGUGUCCUUGUGUAGGAGGCUCCUAGCAGGAUCAACCCCUCCACAGGCUCCAUGGUCUCCUUGAUGUCAGAAAAUAUUGAGCAGCAGAAAUCAAAAUGUCGGAGUAGUCAGUGCAGUUAUCUGGGCAGCUU
rnacentral:lncRNA from 1 species